GCGGUGCUGCCGCUCCCCUCAGAGCCCCGUGCGGGGUCCAAUGGACCUUACAGAUCGUCUUGUUCCACUCCCCGUUGUGCUUUCCCACACACUUUAUCUAUUCCAGAUUGCUCCAGAGCUCCAUCCAGCCUGGCCUUGGACAUUUCCCGGGAUCCAGGGGCAGCCACAGCUUCUCUGGGAAACCUGUGCCAGUGUCUCACCACCCUCACAUUAGAUAAUUUCUUUUUAAUAAUUAAUCCAAAUCUCUCCUCGCUGUUCAAAACCGUUCCUCUUUGUCUUAUCUGCCCAUCUAAAAAUUGCUCUCCCCGCAUCAUGAGCCCCUUCCAGAACUGAAAGGCUUCAACAAGAGCCUCCUGUUGAGGCGGAGCAGCGCCAUGUCAGCUGCUCUUUCGUAGUUCAAAACUAAUCUCUCCUCGUACUUCAAAACCUCUCCUCGUAGUUCAAAACCAUUCCUCCUUGUCCUGUCUGCCCAUGUAAAAAGCUGCCCUCCGCCCUGUCAUGAGCCCCUUCUAGAACCGAAAGGCUUCAGCAAGAUCUCCCCAGAGCCUCCUGCUGAGGCGAGGCAGUGCCAUGUCCGCCUGUCCCCACAGCAGAGGUGCUCCAGCCUCCCGGCCUUCUCCAUGGCCUGCUCUGGGGUCACUCCAACAUGUCCCUGUCACACUGGGGACCCCAGAGCUGGGUGGGGGUGUCACCAGAGCCGGGCAUUGGGCCGGGAUCCCAUCCCUCGGUGCUGUGGGUUCAGCGCGCAGCUCCAAACCCUGCUGCAAAUGGCAAGCGUGCUUUCCCGAACUGCUCCAUGCGGCACCAGAGGGAAAAUCAUCUGUUAAUGUCUGCAGGUCUGAGUCUGCCAGAUAUAAUCACCAGAGCUGAAUGUGUGGCCUGCUAAAUUCACGAGAACAAAUAAACUCACCAUGCCAAGAAUCUGCCAAAUCCACGCAAGGCUACUGCUGGCAACAGGUUUGUAACUCAGACCAGAGCUGAAGAGCAGUGGCUAUGGCUGCUAACUAGAAAGGGAGUGAGAGGAUUAUGCAGGCACCUGCUGAAAAAAGAGGAGCCUUCAAAGACCUGAGCCCCUUGGUGAGCAGGAGGGGUUUGCCUCCCGGCUGUCACAGCAACCAAGAAACUCAGUGCUGGUGAAAUGGAACCAUGUCAAUGCACCGUGGGGAUGGUGAUCUGCUGUUAGCAGUAAAACCUUGAUUCUGUAGCAAGCAACAGCUUAAAUAAUAAAAUGUGUCUGCGAUA